AUUGAACGCUGGCGGCAGGCCUAACACAUGCAAGUCGAGCGGAGCGGCGGACGGGUGAGUAAUGCCUAGGAAUCUGCCUGGUAGUGGGGGAUCACGUCCGGAAACGGGCGCUAAUACCGCAUACUAUCAGAUGAGCCUAGGGCGGAUUAGCUAGUUGGGUGGGUAAAGGCCUACCAAGGGGACGAUCCGUAACUGGUUUGAGAGGAUUAUCAGUCACACUGGAAAUUAGAAACGUGCCAGACGCCUACGGGAGGCAGCAGGGGGGAAUAUUGGACAAUGGGCGAAAUCCUUAUACAGCCAUGCCGCGUGGUUGAAGAAGGUCUUCGGAUUGUAAAGCAUUUUAAGUUGGGAGGCGUUACCAACAGAAUAAGCACCGGCUAACUUCGUGCCAGCAGCCGCGGUAAUAC
rnacentral:rRNA from 1 species